CGGUGGCGGCAAUCUUGUCGUGCCGUCGACCUCGCUCAUUUUAUGCCCUGCUGGAUGGCUUUACACAAAGUUAUGCCAAUAAAGGCCAACUGAUUAUCCUUGUAUGGAUUUGUAUAAAGUGUCCUAAAUUAGUCGGAAACAUACCUCGAAUUCUCACUGCUCUCUGGACUUUUAUACAAUAUGCCAGCUUGUGGAUCGCCAGGAAAGGUUGAGGCAAUAAGGUGAUUGUUUCAGGCAGCAGGAGGCCCGCAACAUCCUGGAGACACUGAAGGCGGUGUGGCCCAACCUCGACGAUGUCAACAGUGUGAUGGCCGUCAUGGGCCGCCUUAUCCACGAUCCAGGUACACUUGAACUCUGUAACGCUCGUAAAACAUUGGGAUGCUUUUUAUGUAAUAUAAUGACCGUUUAUUAGGUAUUUUAGUUGGGAAAAUGUACUAACUUGUGCUACAGUGACAUAGGUUUCUUUUUAAUUUCUUAUUUAUUCUUAUUUCUUAAUUUUUAGGGAAAAUAAUUGUUCUCGUUGAAAUGGCAGUUUUCCUUCAUUCAAUCCCACUGUUCCUUUCCUUAGGAACAUUGUGACAGUUUCGGCUUCCAGGAAUGGUGGUGGCACGUGUGUUCUAAAUUUGGGGAACCCAGAACGUGCAGCUGUCGCGUGCUCGCCCAGCUGCGAGAGGGGGGGGGGGGGGGGUUCCGCUACAAGUAUUGUUCCCCCCCUCACCUCCAAUCCUUUGGUUGGGGAGGGAGGGAUCAGUUGUUUAAUAAUAUAUAUGUAUAAAAAAAAAGCGGCGGAGGGAAUACACACGCGCGUGUACCGGUAGAAAGAAGGGCGGGGGAAGGUCGGCAUUUGUUUCCUCCUUCAGCUGUGGUGUGACGUGACCUUGCCGAUCUCUCUCUCUCCAACAGGAAACGGUCACAUUACGUCACGGCCACGUCACCCCCCCCCCCCCCCCCCAACAAAUAAUAAUAAAGCGUCGUUAGGUUGGCUGGCGUCGGCACGCUGACCUUGUUCCUUCCCCACCCCAACCUCCUGGAACCUUGGCUGUUUCCUCACUGAGCAGUUUGAAACAAUUGUUUUGUUAAACUUUGGACCAUCUGUGGGUGCCAUGAUGUUAUUUGGGUGCUCUACAUAAAAAGAAGCAGUUGACACAAUAGGUUGGAGUUCCACAAACACUGAAACAAAGCUUGGUGUCACUGAGUAACAUCACUAGCAAAUGACAUUUAGAAUUGAGGCAGUUUAUUAUCAAAUAGAAGAUGGUUACACAUAUGCAUAUAUGGAUGGUAUUUGAUUGCCAUUGGUUACUUUCAUCUCCACUGCCAUCUGGCACCUCUCAACAGUAUCACUCUUUUGGAUGUUCUCAUAUGCCCAAUGUUUUCUUAGCAACUUUUGGGAGUAUCCUGGCAAAUGAUAUUUCCAAUAUUUUAGAAUAAUUGAUGCAAUUCUCUCAGACAUAUUAGUGAUUGUAUUGACUCAUCCAUUGAUGAGCUCUACUCUUCCCCGGCAGACACCAUCAAAAGUCUCAAGCUUUACAAGCUUGAUACCUUAGUGUGAUUGAGUGGAGAUAAGAAAGAAGAAUAAUUGAAAUAUAUUUCCACCUGAUUAGUGUUCCUGCUUUCUUGAUAGGUUCCCCUCCCAGAUCUUCUCUUGUCACACUUUUAUUCGGAUGUUGUCCUGCGUUCUCUAAAGAAUAUACAGUAAUACCUGGAUGUAUCUUGAUUGAGUUAUUUCCUGCAUAUCUUACUGCUAUUUGGCAUCUUUCACUCUAACUACAAUAUGAUUAAAUUGAACCAUCAACUAGAUUUAAGAUUUGCUGUUUUUGGAUUUCAAUAGAUAUAUUUACAUAUCGUUUGGUUUUCUUUAUUCCCAGUGGAUACUUGAGGCAUCUUGUUACAAGAUGAUGAUCCGAAGCUUUCUUGAAAACUUUUGUUGUAAAUAUAAAGCAAAUUGUGUCAUUAUAAUCUUUUGUUUUUAAAAUGUCAAUAUAUAUAUAUAUUUUUUAAAAAAUACCUUAUAUAGUUAUAAUUAUAUGUGACUUUGCUCUGUCCUGCAUCUUUCACGUGAUAAUUUCUGUAAUAAUAGUUUCAACAGCUUCUCUAUGAUAUUACAUUUUUGUCGGAAAAUGUGUGUGCUUGAUUUGGAUAGGUUUGACUUCUCUUUUCUCUAGCUCCAUUAAAAUGAAAUAGGCUAGCGCCUGAUUAUUUUAGUUGUCAAAAAAAUCUAUUACUAAAUAGGUAAAGCUAAGGAUAUUGUAGCAGGAGAUAUGCCAAUAUUGAGAUACUUUUUAACAAUUCCCACCAUGCAACUGUAGUGGGCAAGAGCAUCCACGGAGGAGGUCUGCCAAUGUAAACAGAUAUUUUAUCUUAUCAUAGUUUACAUUAGAGGGGCUCUUGCCUCAGCUGCAGUGUGUGGGCAGAGACCAAUGUGAGGGUAGAGCUCAUCAACCAAAUCCCCCACGUGGCUGUCUUCUGCCACCAGCGGGAGAACAUUCUGGGGCCCUUGAUACGCCAGCACCUCAUCCCACUCCUGGUUAAUGUCUUCUCGGACGACCUGCCCUCGGUAACUAUUUCUACCACCCACCUACCUCUCUUGUGUUUUACCAUAAUAAUAGGGCUAGCAUUCUUUUUUCUUGAAUGACGCUGAGGGGACUGGUGCUACUUCAUAAUACAGAUUUAGAUGCCAAUUUGGAUAUCAGAUAUGGAGUGGCAAGAUAGGUUGUUCAUUGCCACCAUCCUACAAGACUAGUAAUGGUAGCAUUGCUGGUACUGAAGCUUUGCAUGUAAAUUACUUGUUAGGGAUUAAAUGGUUGCUUAUUACAUAGUUGACUUUGUGCUGUGUAGGUGAGGAAGUCUAGUCACAAUGCAUUCCUCCUGCUGUUGGAACAAGGGCUGGUGCACAAGAGUAAGUCUAGUUGGUGUUUGUUCUCUCUCACCUAUGGCUAACUUACUGCCUCAGCCAUGUUGGAGGAGUGGCUCUGUCCCAUGGUGGCCAUGCAGGCUGGGGAGGAGACCAUAGAAGAGGACAGGCGCCUCGAAGCUCUUCUGGUAAGUCUCGGCCAUUUUUUUUUUUGCUUCUGUUGCCAAUUCUUGUAUAUAUUUGCUACUUCUGCUGUGUAACUUGGUUGGUUUCCAACUGGGUUGAUGCUGGAGACCUCGCCGUGAAAGACAUGGGUAGUGAGAUGUGUGGCCGACCCCUUCAUCUCACUAUCUUGUCUUUGACGGGGAGUCCGGCGACCUACGGUCUUGGCAGUAGAGUGUGGCGGGCCGUCAAAGGGGCUGUGAGAUGCGUUUUAUGCUUGCCAUAUCACAGCCACUUUUGAUGAGCCCGCUGCUCCUAUCCUCAUCAACGCUGUCGUCCGCCCGACCACCAGAGCCAGGAGGGUCCUCACUCACAAAGUGGCGGUGACAUGUCAUGCCGUGCAAUCAUAUCACAGCCAUCUUUGAUGAGUGAGGCCCCUUUCCUGAUGUCUUCCCUACGCGACAGUGCUCCCGAGCAUGAUCGUCAAAGUGGCUGAUGAUGUGUUGCGACCCAAUCGUAUCACAGCCAGCUUUGAUGAACACCCUCAGGGGCUAAGGACUCCUCAGCUACAAGGUAUUUCUCUCUCUGUGCUCGCCUCCCACCUGAACCUUUCUUUACAAUCUGUGCCAGUUGUGCUUAUCCCUAGUAGGAUGAUGAGGUUGUGAAAGAUAUCCUGAUUGUGCAACAAUGGUUGCUGUCACAAUAAAUACCAACUAAUAGUUGAUUUUAUCAUUAUUCUAGAUAUGCCCAUUUACCUUUUCUUGAUUAAUCAAGCCAACCCCACAUACACAAAUUCACUCUUUUGGCCCUCAUCAGCGUUUUACAGGCUGUACCUUAAUGACCAAAAAAACUGGUCUUUUAGACUUACUAAAAAAAAUCAAGGAAUGGGUAUUUGUCAUUAAGUGUGUGAGAAUGCCAAACUAUAGUGAAACAAAAAAAAAAUUGUGAAAUUGUACUUGGGAUCAGGUUAAUACAUUUUAAGAAAAGGCAUCUUCUGAUGGGGCAACUGUUGUUGAUGGCUUUCACAAUCUGUCGGAUCAAAUAUCAACUUAUCGUUGAUUUUUUAUAAUUGCAGAGUUGGCCAAAUAAAGAGAUGUCUUAAUCUGAUCCAGUAUAAUUUCACUAUUUUUCAUAUACUUUAUUAAAAGUCUCAUUAUACCACUUGGCAUUAGCACAAUAGAGAGGUUGCCAUCUAUUACAGAGAGUCUUUCACAAUAUAUUAAUAUUGAAUAAUACAUCUCUCAGCAGCACACUUAGAUCACAAAAUACUGAUUAUAUCUAUAGAAUAUUAUAAUCAUGAGCUAUAGUAGAUAGUAGCUGCUUCAUAGACACUUGUGUGGCUCGAAUCAGUGUACAUUGCAGAGAACUGAAAGGUAUUGAUCAAUUUUCAAUAUAAUUAUUUCCCUUCCCCCAUUGGAUCAUAGAACUUGACUAUUUUGGCAGAUAUGGAGUGUUUUGUAACUAUUCUUACCCCCUUGUGUAAAGAUUACACAAAUUCCAUGAGUUCAUGCUCCUCGAGCUGUAACUAUUUGUAGUUAAUAAAGCCUAUGGUUUGUGUGGUUAAUAAUGUAAAGAUGGAUGAAUGGAAACUUGGUGUGGGGAGGACAAGACUUGGUUCAAAGUUGUAUACAACAAAACUUGUUAUAUCUACAAUUUAAAAUUUUUCAACAUCUUAGACUUUGUAUUCCUUUGCAAUCAAAAAGUUGAUCNNNNNNNNNNNNNNNNNNNNNNNNNNNNNNNNNNNNNNNNNNNNNNNNNNNNNNNNNNNNNNNNNNNNNNNNNNNNNNNNNNNNNNNNNNNNNNNNNNNNUUAAGGGGAUGGUAGUUUCGAAACUUGCCUCGGCGCUCGAGUCACUUUGAAGAAAUUUGGAGAUGACGCGGAAAGAAGCUGUUAUUGAGGAAGUAUGUGGAUGGAGGAAAUUCUUUGGAAGCGGCAAGAAUUUCAGCUACUAAUGGUUGGACAAUUUGUUUGACGUUGUCCAUUCUAAACAUUCUGUAUGAUCUCCCUUUUGUAAUACUGCUUUCAAAGAAUCCACACAAAUUUAUUAAAAUUUCAAUAAUCGAAAAAAAAAAGAAUAUGUAUGAAUGUUGUGUGGACUUUUUGUGCCCCUCUCGUUAAAAGUCUUCAUACUGAUUCCGAAAUAGCUUGUUCAGUUUGUAAAUUAGACUAACUCAUUUUUGUCAAACGUCCCAAACGCGUCCCUUUUGACUCAUUAUAACUUUUUUUUUAAACGGUCUAUAUAUUUUUGUGGAAUCAGCAACCCAAGAAAAAGGUGUAUAUGUGGUAAUGAAGACGUCAGAGAGAUGGCAUGUGUGUGGGUCAGUCAGCGUGAUGGUGGUGGAGGGUAACGGACAACCAACUCGACGCCGUAGUGCGUUGGUUGAACGACCGCUGCGUGGGGCCCAGCGCGCAUGCGUCGGCAAGCCAUUGAUCGGACGGACCCAUUGUUGGCGUGGGGGGUGGCUGCCCCUCCUUUCGCGCGCACUACACUGGCCCGGUUUGGCACCGGCCUCAUUCAACUUUUCCCGCACUCACUCACACACCAGCACUUCCUGGGCUUGUUGUUACUGCUGUGGUGGCUAACUGGUUGGUGGUUGACGCCUCCUUUCGCUCCGAUGCCCUUCUUGUCAUGUGCUGCUUGCUUAUCGCGGCGUCCCCCUCUACCAACUUGGGCAAAUCCAUCCUAAACCCUAUUCUAUUUCCACCUUCAAACUUUUAUUCCAUAACAUUUUAUUUUUGUUGUUUACGCGUCUUUAUCCUUCCUUUCACCCCCCAGAAUGUAUGUUUAUGGAAGAAAAUAUUUUUACGAUAGAGGAAACCCCCACCCCCCCACGUAACAAUCUAGAGAUGGCGUCGUACAUUUCCUCUCAUUACAUAAUGUGUUGUUGUUCACUGCGCAGAGUCCUUUAUCUAACUCCUCUUACACACGAGAAUCUCUCAUUACAAACCUAACAAAGAUUUUGCUUCAAAAUCCUCCCCCAGUACAUGAUGUUUCAAUCACAUCAUUAAAUAUUUAAAGAGAAAGAAAUUGAAUUUUGAAAAUAAUAAAAAAAAACGGUAGUGAAAUUUUCAAGUAGUAAGUUUUAGUCAAAGAAUAAAUGUUUCUCCACACACACUCUCAUGGCUUUAAUUAAGGCAAUAAUUACCGAUUAGCGUUUUAAAAGAAUAGGAAGUUAAUUAACAUAGUUUAUAUCCAGAAAUCAAUUGUGAUUAAAAUUAGAAAAAAGCAGAAUUUCUUCAAGACCCUCUGCUCUACCUAACAAGCUAUUUAAAUGAUUGAUUUGUAGUGCUAGAAUUUUUUUUUUUUUGCUUAUUUAAAAAAAAAAAAUCGAUUCUUUAUUUAUCAUUCAUAUAAAGGAAUCACUGUCCUAGUGUUCACCCUGAAUAGGAUAGUCCUCGAAUAAUGCAGAUUUUUGUUUUUAAUCAUUGAAAGAAAAUUCCAUCAUUUUUUUUACUUUUUUACCAUAACACCGCUACUGUAUAUAAUAAAUAGCAGAGGGAAGGCCCUAUAUCAACAAAUUAAAUGUACCAACACUUCACUCUACGUAUUGCUUUCAAAAAUAUCAGCAAACAAAUCUAAAGCAAUAGCUUACUAUAGAUUUUUUAGAUCAUCAUUAUGUAAGGACCAGUCAACAAGUGAAUGACUUUGAGACGAAGAGUAAAGCCAGUUCAAUUUCCAUCUUACUACCUAUGUAAAUAACAGAUGAUUAUUACCCAAUUGGGAGAAUCUUUAUGGGCAAGUCCUUAAUAAAGGCUUUUGUGUGUGUGUAUAACAAAUAAUAAUAAUAAACUUUUAUUAAAACAAUUGGUUAAACAAUCAAUUGGGAACAAGCUGUGCAUAAGAGCUAAUAUAAAGCUCAAACUAUAAACUCAAAUGUCCCACUUAUCACCUGGUAGCUUCUUCCUGUCUAAGCUUGCAAUUGCUUCCCAACCUUUUUGUGUCCCAAUUUUUUUGAUGGCUUUUUAAUGAUAGUUAUGUCUGAAAGAGUUGCAGCAUGCCUAAAGCAGGUUUUAGUGUGAGGGUUCUAAUACAUCCUAUUUUAUACAUGCUUACAAAGUGCUAUCAAAGUGGAAAUGUUCCAUAUCCUAUUUACCCAUGGAGAGAGAUUGAGUCUAGAGAGAUGAAAAAAUGAUCAAAAAGCAAUAUUAUUUCCUAACACUAGUUUUUAGCAUCUUUGUCAUGAUGUUGAAGUAAUCUGUUAUUACUCCAGUCAUUUUUUCCUCUUCGUUCUGCCUAUUAGAGCAUUUUUUGUUCUCUUUUAGUGGCCCACAAAUACAUUCAUUGCUGUUAAAGGAUCACUAUGGUACUAUAUAACCACAUCUUGUUUACUCAUUUUUAAAACCUUCUCAUCCUGCUAUUCUUCUUGCUAGAGUCAGGUAUUUCAACUACAGUACACAGGAAUCCUGUGUGAAGCUCAUGAAAUCAAAGCCUGACUGACAAGGGCAGGACUGUUAGCCCAUAAGCUGGGUUUUGGCUUUGUCACCUACUCAAAUCUGCAAAGAAGGUUAAUUUUAGCAUCUAUUUUGAUGAUAAAGGUGACCAUUCUUUUUAUAGAUUAAUUUUGCCAUUUUAAAUUUCUGGUCAUGAGUUUAAAAAGCAAGAGAUGUCACUUUGAACCUUGAUAGGCAGUAUGUCAACAACACCACCUAAGACAAUUUAAAAGAGCCAUUUUUUUUUUUACUCUGUUGACUGUGAUACCCAACCCUCCUUAGAUUAAAAUAAAUCAAUAAUGUGCCAUCUAUAUAGCUAAUGAAAACAUUUAGACACAAAUGUUUCUUUCACACAUAAACCCUCUUUAGAAGGCUGAUUUAACGGUUUCCAAAUGUGUGUGCAUCAAAAUCUCUCUAAUGCAUACUCAGAAGGAACCUAGAAAGCUAAGAUCAGGGUGGCUACAUGAGAAAAUACCUUCUGUGUCACCUCACUGUGAAGAUACUAGAGUGCUAUCUACGUUGCAUUUUUCAUUUAUUCAACCUAUUCUUUGUUGGCUAAUUAUCUUGAUUGUUAAAUCC
rnacentral:piRNA from 1 species